UACGGAGGGUGCAAGCGUUAUCCGGAUUCACUGGGUUUAAAGGGUGCGUAGGCGGCUUAUUAAGUCAGUGGUGAAAGCUCGCAGCUCAACUGCGAAAUUGCCAUUGAAACUGAUAAGCUUGAAUCUGGUUGAAGUGGGCGGAAUACAACAUGUAGCGGUGAAAUGCUUAGAUAUGUUGUAGAACACCGAUUGCGAAGGCAGCUCACUAAGCCAACAUUGACGCUGAGGCACGAAAGCGUGGGUAGCGAACAGG
rnacentral:rRNA from 1 species